CCUACAGCAACCGGCACUGCUGGGAGUGCCCUGUCACAGGAUGAUCAGCAGGCAGCAAGAAAUGCAAGGCAGCACCUACGGCCACCUUAGCACAAGCCCGGCACUGUUAACGAUGGAAUCAGCUUCCCUGGAAACAACACUCAGCCAGGAGAUCAGCCCUCGGUAAGUAAAGAGAUGCUUAUACUGCGCGGAGGAACCUGCAUUGAGUGUCCGGCACAUCACCGACUCACACUUCAGCAGCAGCAACUUUGGAGGGCCUGCCUAGAGGCAGUUGUAAGGAAGCUGAUUUUCUGCGGGAGAGUGGCUUAGGAUUUUCUGAAAAUCAGGCUGCAUUAGAGUCGCCCCGGGGAAUCUGAGGCAUCAGAAAGCCACCAAAUCACUCUGGAAGAUUUAGCUCUGAUCAGACUGGUUGAUCAAAGCCCCUCUCCUUUGUUGAUGUUGGAUCCAGAGCUGCCAUUGUUCCCUAAUUUCACCCUCUGGGAGGAGGAGGUGGAGUCUAGACGGAGCCUCCAAAUCUUGCUGCGGUAGCCAUCUCUCUUCAGCAACAGAGAGCAUCUAGGAAUCUGAGUUGCUGGCCAGGAAGCCAGAAAAGCAGGGAGACUUUGGGUCGUGGGGAGGAAGGGGGUGUAAAAUGCAACGUGCUGAU